GUCAACUCUGUUAUGUGAACUGAACUCUGGUCAUUUUAAGGUCAACUCUGUUAUGUGAACUGAACUCUGGUCAUUUUAAGGUCAACUCUGUUAUGUGAACUGAACUCUGGUCAUUUUAAGGUCAACUCUGUUAUGUGAACUGAACUCUGGUCAUUUUAAGGUCAACUCUGUUAUGUGAACUGAACUCUGGUCAUUUUAAGGUCAACUCUGUUAUGUGAACUGAACUCUGGUCAUUUU